rnacentral:rRNA from 1 species
GACGAACGCUGGCGGCGUGCCUAAUACAUGCAAGUCGAGCGAACAGAUAAGGAGCUUGCUCCUUUGACGUUAGCGGCGGACGGNUGAGUAACACGUGGGUAACCUACCUAUAAGACUGGAAUAACUCCGGGAAACCGGGGCUAAUGCUGGAUAAUAUUUAGAACCGCAUGGUUCUAAAGUGAAAGAUGGUUUUGCUAUCACUUAUAGAUGGACCUGCGCCGUAUUAGCUAGUUGGUGGGGUAAUGGCUUACCAAGGCAACGAUACGUAGCCGACCUGAGAGGGUGAUCGGCCACACUGGAACUGAGACACGGUCCAGACUCCUACGGGAGGCAGCAGUAGGGAAUCUUCCGCAAUGGGCGAAAGCCUGACGGAGCAACGCCGCGUGAGUGAUGAAGGUCUUCGGAUCGUAAAACUCUGUUAUUAGGGAAGAACAAAUGUGUAAGUAACUGUGCAUGUCUUGACGGUACCUAAUCAGAAAGCCACGGCUAACUACGUGCCAGCAGCCGCGGUAAUACGUAGGCGGCAAGCGUUAUCCGGAAUUAUUGGGCGUAAAGCGCGCGUAGGCGGUUUCUUAAGUCUGAUGUGAAAGCCCACGGCUCAACCGUGGAGGGUCAUUGGAAACUGGGAAACUCGAGUGCAGAAGAGGAAAGUGGAAUUCAUGUGCGGCGGUGAAAUGCGCAGAGAUAUGGAGGAACCCCCA